rnacentral:rRNA from 1 species
CGACCGGCGCACGGGUGAGUAACACGUAUCCAACCUGCCGAUGACUCGGGGAUAGCCUUUCGAAAGAAAGAUUAAUACCCGAUGGCAUAGUUCUUCCGCAUGGUAGAACUAUUAAAGAAUUUCGGUCAUCGAUGGGGAUGCGUUCCAUUAGGUUGUUGGCGGGGUAACGGCCCACCAAGCCUUCGAUGGAUAGGGGUUCUGAGAGGAAGGUCCCCCACAUUGGAGCUGAGACACGGUCCAA